rfam:Bombyx mori DNA, contig: Bm_scaf4731_contig49940, strain: p50T/Dazao, build 2, whole genome shotgun sequence.
UUAGCUCACAUUUGUAUGGAAUGGGAUCGUAUGCCUACGUUUGCCGCUAGGGGCGCUGUUCCAACUGCAUACAAAGUUGGGUUA